ACUUCCCGGGUAUAGACACACUUGUGCGCGCGCUCGUGCCCAUUGGCGCAGUGCUCUUUUUCAACGAGGGACACUAUCAGCGCAUGCGGCCUUCACACGCUGCGGACCACCACGGUGCACUGUCGCACAGAUGCAGAUGCUGCAGUGGCAGCGGCCACUCGCGUCGCAGCAGACCCCUUCCCCAUACAGCCGUUUCACCUCGGGCCCAUGAAAGGCCCCAUAGGCCCCCAUGAUCCCCAUCGCCAUCGUGCACGUCUAUGAGUACUCAAGCUGCACUGAAAGGCAGCAGACCCCGUCGGCCUCUUCCUCGGACGUCGCCAGCGCAGAUGUGCUUCAGCAGGCCAUGCCGCACCUGCUUGCCUUCUACCCUCAGCUCUCCGAUCGGCUUGUGUUGCUGCCCAACGGCGAGCGCAUGGUCGGCCGCCUCGACAGCGGCGCUCUCUUCGUGGAGGUCACCUGUGAUAAGGCCCUGCACGUGCGAUGCGUGCUGUCGCCGCUCGACUUGCCGGCAGCGGGCAAAUGCCUUCUCUGCCCCAUGCAACCGAUCCCUCAAGCACAUUGUGAAGGGCCCUCCCGUGGUGCACAUUUCGCACUCCUUGUGCGACGCGCACGGCUUCCUGUUUGUCAUGCAGCACCUGGCAGAGCUGCAUAGAAAGCUAGAGGCAGCUGGAGGCGAUGGGGCGGCGGCGUCGGUGGUGGCGUUGGACAGGGCAGCGCCGCAGUGCCGCUCGCAUUCGGCAAACCUCCGCGCUGCGCAACGACGGCGGACGGCAAGGGUUGGGGCUCCGCCUUCCAGGCACGCAACGCGUUUCUGUGGCAAAGCAUGUAUUAGUCAGACUGAAGCGUUGGCGGCUGCGGUGACCCGGCGACGAAGCAGCCAAUCACGAACUACCUCACCCCCCUCAAGGUGCGAGAGCGCUUUCUGCCAACGCAGGCGGGCGAGGACGCUCGCUUCCCCGUUGGCUGCCACGUUGUGAUCACCAAAGCUGCGUCAGAGUUACUGCGAUACGGGCAGCUUGACACCAGGCUGCCGUGGCACUGCGGGCGCGGCGGUGGCUCGCCGCGCAGCCGGGCAGGACGCACAUUCGAGCCUACUUUUUGCUCGGUGUUUUUAUGAUGAGCGCGUGGAAGAGGUUGGGCAUGCACGGCACAACCGUAUAUGAUAAGGCGCAGGCCGUGAUAGUGUAGACCCCUUUUACCACCAUCACCCAUCCUCGAUGGACUUGGAUUACAUUCCAUCCUGUCCUCCGGCGUUCGCUACAGGGGUAGCCGGAGAUGACGCCACCGAGGCGGCAAGCACGUGUGUGAAUGACCUUGUGGUGUACCUGGUGCUAACGGUCUCGCCUUGGACCGUAUCUCUGCUGAUCCCCUCAUCCCUCUAUGUGUGUGCACAAGCGUGUUGCUGCGCGCAGAAGGGUGGGCCGGCGUUGGAGUAUCCUACUUUCGUUUCUUUUACUCUUCCUCAGCUCUACUCAUCCGCUGUGCGUGGAUGUCUGUGAUGCAUCCUUUGUGUGAAUCGGGAGGUAUAUCGCCUCGCUUCACCCUGUUCCCUUCGCGAAGCUGCGCCGCUGUGCCGCAAAAUGCGCGUGCGCGAGCAUGCGCGCUGACUCGUUCAUUACACAGCGAGAUGAUACGAGGUGAUACAUUGGCCUUCAGCGCGCCUGUUUAUCUCCCUCCUCCACAACAGCAGUGCGCAAGUUAAAGACCGUUUUCGAUUAUUUUCUUUUUUGCGCGCGCCUUUAAUGUUGUCUAGGCAGUGAGAGAAAACACCCUCCGAGUCGAUGAAGCCUGCGGUCGCACGCUAGGCACCGCAUGUUUCACUCGUAGUCAAGCUCACCCCCCUUCUUC
rnacentral:misc_RNA from 1 species